rnacentral:lncRNA from 1 species
UUGACAGGAGACUUGGGAGGAGACUGAGGGGAGCGAGCACAGGAGGAUGUUGAGAGCAAACUUCCUUCCCUUUGUCUUUACCUGGAGACCCACCCAGGGCAAAUGCAGACUGUCUUCACGCGGAGAUAUCACCUGCAGGUGCAUGGGUUGCCCUUGGAUACUGCUGUAACAAGAUUUCUUUUCUCCAAAGACAGAAAGGCUGGAUUGUGGCUCUGUCUGGGUUGGGCUUUUUGUAUUGAGUGACUCAACCAUCAAAAGGCUUUUGCCUUCAUUCAUGGAAGCAGAAGAAAAAGAUAAAACAUGGAAAUGAUGUGACAAUUUCAAGAGCUG